rnacentral:lncRNA from 1 species
UCUAAACAUAAUAAUUAUAUUAUUGUGGGUUGAAAACCCUAUGUACUCACCAGGUUUCCCAACCUGACCCACUUAGUUUAUUUAUAUCACAUGUGUUNGAUAUGAAGUGACAUUACACUGAGAGAUUUAAAGAGAUGUAGAUCACUAGUGUAAAUAAUUGUAAGUUCUGUUUAUGCUUAUGUUUCUGUAUUCACGAUGACAUCCCAAACGUUUUAAAAUGAAUAAAAUACAUUUCUUCGAAAAUGUUUUAAUAACGUAUUUAUUGUAUUUUUCUGGGAACAUAUUCCGCAACAUUUUUAUUAUAAGAAGUACUCUGAUUUUUAUAAAGCAUAAACAAAAUUGGUCUUUUCUGGCCGUGAUUUUGGGGAUGUCACAGUUGGUAUCAGAGCAUUAGUUUAAGCGAACUAGGAAUAUGGAUUUAUUUCUAGACUUAAACUUAGAAUGCUAAGCGAUGAUUGUGAGGUGUGAGCACUAGCUUAUUUUAGGAAUGAUGCCUAAAUUGCUUUUAUGUGCUAAAUGAUUUGUUAUGCUAUAGUUUGAUCGGAUCUAUGGUCUGUUGCCGACCGGAUCUGGAAACCUUAUGUGUUUAGGAUUCUAAACGUACGAAUACGAUAUUAGAACUAGCAUAUAAACGCUUCGGAGUGAUAAGGAUGAUUUAAGACGUCAAUCCUAAAUUAAGAUCUAGAUUCACCUUAUUCGGUGUAUAGAUCAAGUGACAAGGACCCGUAGCGGAAACAUGAAUGCAAAUGGGAACCGAAACCAACCCCCAGUGAUUGAGCAAAUAUCGGUUGCGGUGGCCGCUGCUGAGCCAAUAACGAUGUCCGGAGUGCAAGCAAUGAUCCAGGCGAUGUUGGAUNGGAAACCAGACGUUUGCUCCAGCAAAAUCGAGAGGAAGAGACUAUUCAGAUCGAACAGCCCGAGUUGAACGAAGGGCAGACUGAGGAGGGAAACUACAGUGGGACUGUUGGUCAAGCCAACCCACCGAUAGUUAGGCAAAACCACCAGGAUGGAGGAAAUGAUGGACGUGGAUGCAAAUACAAGGAUUUCAUGGCGUCCAAACCACCGAGUCUAUCUGGAAGCCCGACGCCGGUGGAAGUCAUGAACUGGAUCUCUGAGAUGGAGACGAUGUUUGAGAGUUGCGAGUGUAGCAACAGGCAGAAGACCGCUCUCGCGGUUCCUUUGUUGAAAUCUGGAGUACUAAGCUGGUGGAAGCUACUAGCCGAUUCGAUGCCCAAAGGAGAAGCGAGCAAGAUGUCAUGGGAGGAUUUUCUGGUGCAGUUAAAAAUGCAGUACUGCUCUGAGCAGGAUCUUCUGGAGAUCAACAACGAGUUUCAGAAUAUAAAGAAGGGAAAGAUAAGUGUCAUCGAGUAUGCUGCAAGUUUUACGGAGAAAAUGAAGCUUGUUGCUUAUCUAGUUCCAACUGAGCUCUCCAAGUUCAAUAAGUUUGCCCAUGGAUUACCAGCAGACUUUGGACCAAUGGUCAAGCAAGCAACCACAUUGAAAGGAGCCAUCUGGGUAGCCAGGAAUGUUGAGACCCAGAUUAGGGAAAAAGGUCUUGAGAGAGCUGAAGUUGGCGAGAAAAGGAAGCAUGAAGGAUCUUCAAAAUCCAACAAGGAAAAGAAAUUCUCAAAGAAUGAAGAAGGAGGAGGAGGUGAAACCAAGUGGUGCGAGAAGUGUAAAAAGAAGCACUUCGGGAAAUGUAGCGAGGAGGUGACUUGCUACAAAUGUGGAAAGACAGGGCAUUACGCCAGCAAGUGUAUGUCCAACAAGAAGACGUGCUAUGGAUGUAACAAAGAAGGGCAUAUCUCUAGGGACUGCCCAAAGAAAAACGAGGCAGCAAGGCCAAACACGCCACCAAGGCCAAGGGUAUUACACAUGAUCCUCGACAAAGUAGAAAACCAUGCGAGGAAUCAAGGAUGAGGACUUCAUAUCCGAAGAUCGAGUUAUGCAGUAGCCAUAGUAUCAAAUGAUGUAGCCUAUUAGAGGCAUAGUCUAGGGCGAACUUGAACACCUAUGUAAUAGUUUCAAGAAAUAAUAAAACCUUCAUUUUGUUAUCUGAUGUGUUAAACUGUUAUGUGAUUUUCUUGUAUGGUGACUUGGGGACUGCGAGACAAUACUUGAGACGAGUAUGAGUAGGUGUGAAAGGUAGUAGAUGCAUAUACUACCGGAAGCACAUGACUCAUGCUUGGAUCAGGGGAAGUCACAAGGUUACCAAGAAGCUAGUAAUUGAUUCUGUUUUGUUCGUGUAUGUUGUUACCAUCGUUUCGGUAAUAACUAAAAAGAUUGUUGAUAUUCCGACCCGAGUGGUCAUAUCGAAUUGAGUCCGACUACGAUAAGUAUGUUACGUGGUUCAGAGAACCAAGUUCGAUGUAGCACCCGACUUAAGCCAGAAGAAUUAAUCAAAUCGAUCAGUAGAAGUAUUGCGAUGGUUGCUAGAAAUGCUACCUUUUAAGAUGUGAUUAGAACAUGAAGGAAGGUAUAGUCUGUUCCGGAAUUCGACUCUAAACGACCUGAGUCCAAGCAAUGCAUCACACGAUGAUAGGUCAUUAGAAUAUGACACAUCGUUCCAUUGUAAUAAUAAAAAGAACUUAUCUUAAGUUCGUAUCAACUGAGGAUUGACAUUGUGACUUGAAGGUAAUAAGUUGGAGUCUAACAUGAGAUAGAGAGCGGAUGCAAGAUCGAGCACUGCCUGUAGUCAAGGAGUCUAAGAGUUAGAUACUCGUUCGAAGAAAAAUCGAAGUUAUGACUUAGGAUGAAUAGAUAACGAAUGGAGUCAUCAUGUGAGCCCUGUUUCGUUGAUGAUUCCGGGACGUAAUCAUCCUACGGGGGAGAUAAUUGUAACGCCCGUAUAUCCGGGCUAGUCAAUUUAGAGGCAAUAGGGGUCGAAAACGACUUUUCGACAAAGGAUUACUUAGAAUAAAUAAUUUAAACCAAGUGGUAGUUUAUGUCACAAGGUUUCCGUACAUAAAAAGAACACCGAAAUCCGAGUUAUAACGAAGAAGUUAUGACCUGUCGAAGUUUCGCGACAAAACCGGCACGGCACCGGGAAGCGUAAAUAGUGAAUUUACGAUAGAGCGAGUUUUAGCCUUAGUAAUAUAAAUGAAAAUCGUAGAAUACGUUAAACUAAUAACAUCGAUAAGAAGAACGCCCAAAUCUGACUUCGUAUGAAGAAGUUAUGAUUUUUCGAAGUUUCGGAUUAACAGUGUACAACCCGAAAAUCGAAUAUUAGAUCGAGCGUUUUUUAGCCGACACAACCUAAACGAGAAUCGAAGAUGUCGUUAAGAGUAGCGUAGCGAGAAAAAGAUGGGCGAAAACGGACGUCAGAUGAAGAAGUUAUGAGGAUUUAAUGGACCAAUCCUGUCCCAGCUUGUUAAUAAUAUAAAAUUUAAAAUAGAGUCAAUAUUAGCCGACGGAGUCUAAACGAAAGUUGUAGAGUACGUUCCCACCUUCGCGUGGACAUAAAGAACGUUGAAAACGGAGCUCGAAUGUGAUAGUUACGAUGUUUAGAAGUUGAGAAUGCAAUUUGGGAAGCUGGUGAUGACGUGGCACUAUCUUAGCCUUCCCUUGCUCCCCACGGUCUCGCAUCCGAUGACCGAUGCGUCACCCUCGCAUUACGCCCCGCGUCUGAGGUCCAGUACGCCCCGCGUACGUUCGCUUCUUAUCGACUCCGAGAACAAGCCAUGUGCGAGACAACUGGAAGCCUUAUCUGAGGAGUACGCCCAGCGUACCCUCGGUACGCCCAACGUAAUUACGAGAUCAGGCGCCUAUAAAAGGCAUGAGAAGGGUCCAUGCUUUUCACACAUUAUCAUAGCAAAUCUCUUUCUCUCUCUAGUUUCUUUCUCUCUUUAAGACCCCAAACCACCCCUAAGCCCUAGAUAAAACCCCUUGCUCCCGAGGGAAGUCCCGAGGCUCCCGGAGUCCCGAGAAAAAGAGUCUUUCGGUUUCGAAACGCUGCUCCAAAUAAAGUUCCGGUUUUCGAUAAAAUUCGCUGUAAGUGUGCUACGCUUACGCAACUUUUAAUAUAGCUUCCAAAUAAUUAUAGUAAUGUUAUUAGGUCCUUAAAAUAAUUAUUUGGGCUAUUAUUAUGAGUUAUAUUGAGUGUUAUUUAACUCUUAAAUAAUAAUAAUAAUAGUCAGACUAUUAAUUUGUCGCGGUUAUCGUUAGAAUAAACCCUAGUGGUGUUGAUACUAGGUUUUAUCGUAGGAAAAUUGUUUUGAAAGUAUCGAAGCGUUGUUCGAGUACUAAGUCACCACCUUUCAGGUGAGUGCAUGGUCCCCUUCAACUUACACAUAGAUAUGAAGUAUUUACUACGUGCUACGUGUGCAUAUUGUCUGCUUACUUGCUGUUUAUGCUCGGUGAAAGAUUUUGUACAUGUUUUAAAUGAUUUAAACUAUAUAUGUAUUUUAUAUCUACGAAAAUGUUGGGGUAAAACAUGGGUAGAUAUAAUAGAUGAAAUAUGAGUUGGACGAUGAGUUGAGAGGUGAUAUAGACCACGAGGUAUGGGUGAGAGGUGUAUGAUGUGAGAAUCCUUUUUCCCAAACGAUGUCCCCGUCAUUCAGUAGAGUAUGGAUGACAACCACGGAGUAUUCUAGACAGUCCAGUGGAACACUAGCAGGCUCGCAGCCUGUAGGUGUUGUGAACGAUGUGUUCACCCUGUUUACUAUAAAGCUUGGUGACCAUGCAGACUUGGUGCCUAAACCUUGGUGAUCAUGCAGACUUGAUGCCUAAACCCUGGUGACUAUGCAGACUUAGUGCCUAAACGCUGGCGACUAUGCAGACUUAGUGCCCGUUGUGCAAACCAUGGCAACGAUGGACUUCGUGCCGAUUCCUUUGGAUGAUCUUUAGGAACGAAUGAACGAGGAAUAAGCUGAUUCUUAGGGUAGAUCCUUAAGAAUAGAGAAUAUAAUGGGGAUGAGUAAUGGGGUUUAAUUGCUUGAUUGUCUAAACAUAAUAAUUAUAUUAUUGUGGGUUGAAAACCUUAUGUACUCACCAGGUUUCCGUACCUGACCCACUCAGUUUAUUUAUAUCACAGGUGUUGAUAUGAAGUCACAUUACACUGAGGGAUUUAAAGAGAUGUAGAUCACUAGUGUAAAUAAAUGUAAGUUCUGUUUAUGCUUAUGUUUCUAUAUUCACGAUGACAUCCCAAACGUUUUAAAAUGAAUAAAAUACGUUUCUUCGAAAAUGUUUUAAUAACGUAUUUAUCGUGUUUUUCUGGGAACAAAUUCUGCAACAUUUUUAUUAAAAGAAGUACUCUGAUUUUUAUAAAGCAUAAACAAAAUUGGUCUUUUCUGGCCGUGAUUUUGGGGAUGUCACAGCUAGUACAUACUAUACAUUACAAUACAUGCUUGACAGAGAGAGAACACACAAUACAACUAGUACAUACUAUACAUUACAAUACAUGAUAGACAGAGA